GUAACAGUGUUGGGGUACCAACCUAAUGGUAGAAUGGAUAGUAACAGUGUUGGGGUACCAACCUAAUGGUAGAAUGGAUAGUAACAGUGUUGGGGUACCAACCUAAUGGUAGAAUGGAUAGUAACAGUGUUGGGGUACCAACCUAAUGGUAGAAUGGAUAGUAACAGUGUUGGGGAACCAACCUAAUGGUAGAAUGGAUAGUAACAGUGUUGGGGAACCAACCUAAUGGUAGAAUGGAUAGUAACAGUGUUGGGGUACCAACCUAAUGGUAGAAUGGAUAGUAACAGUGUUGGGGAACCAACCUAAUGGUAGAAUGGAUAGUAACAGUGUUGGGGUACCAACCUAAUGGUAGAAUGGAUAGUAACAGUGUUGGGGUACCAACCUAAUGGUAGAAUGGAUAGUAACAGUGUUGGG